AAAGAAAAGAACAAUCUUCUCAGUAACAAUUCUCUUUUGCAUUAGUUCUUCCGGAAAUAUUGUUGUGAAAUUGAUUGAGAAAUUCAUUUCUCCGUUUUUUUCCUUGUAAAGUGGAAAUUUACUUCCUUUCAAGAUGGAAAGUAUAUUCUGCCUUUUUUAAUCAUUGUUAUUUGUUAAGCAUCUUGAUUUUUUGCUUUCACAUGUGUGCCUGUUCGAGAUGCAUCUGCGUCGGAACUGGAAGAUUUUAUUUGCAAUUUUAUUGGUGGCUUAUGCAUGAUGUGAGUGAGGUUAAACAAAUGAGUAUGGAUUGAGACUUACCGAGGAUUCUUUUCUGAUUCCAGGCUUCUUACGCCACCUGGUACUCCUCUUUUUCCUUCUCUGGAAAUGGAGUCAAACAAAUCCACCCUGGGUCAGAUUGUAACCCCCAAAGCUCGUCCAACUGCACUGAAGUCUAGGGCUACAGUUUUGUUAUUCAAUUUGGUGACGGUGUGAAUGAGCAACUAGUUGACUAGUUCCCAAGCAGCAAUGCUUCCCCAAUGGCAGAUAGGCAUUUGAUGUCGUGGUAUUUCUUGUUUCUAUAAAAUCCUUUCUGUAAAUUUUGCAAACACAAGGUGCUUUUAUUACUUUCAACAGAUUUUUUGCUUUUGCAUCUUUCUUUACAUUCUGAUACCACAAAUUCUGUGAAUCUCUUCUUUCGAUGAACAUAACUUCAUUUUUUAUCUCACAAUGAAAUAUGAAAGCUGAAUAUUCACAUGAUGUAAUCGGGUCAACUCUAAUUGUUGAUACCAGAUUAUGAUCAUCAACUUGUUUAAAACCACUGAGCUAUCGCUAGCAUAGAAACCAUCUUUUGGAAGUGAUAAAGGCAAAGAUAGCUUAUAUUGAAAAGGAUGUGAAACACAUCACACUAUACAAGACAAAAAUUUCAGGCAGGGCCAACAUAAAUGCCCACUGGCCCACCUAUCGUAAGGAAGGAAAACCGGAGGGGAGCAGGUCAGGCCACCUGCAGGCUGCCCAACCCGACUAUAAAUAUAUGGGAGAAUCCAUGCCAUAUUUCUCUCCUCACUAUUCCUUUUUACUGCAUUCACAAACUCCAAAAUGGAGCUCCCACGUAUGAGCCUAUGGGCAAUUUGGUCAUUUCUCCUUCUAUCUUCCAUUCACCUUCCAUGUUUCUUCGGAUCUGCCUCUCACUUCUCCAAUGAAACAGAUCUCCUUGCUUUGCUCAAAUUCAAACAUCUGAUAACCGACGAUCCUCUACAUUCCUUGAGCUCAUGGAACCAUACUCUCCACUUCCGCCACUGGCAAGGUGUCACUUGCGGUGGUCGACGGCAUCCUCAAAGGGUCACCGCCUUGAACCUCACUGGCCAAAACUUGGUGGGCUCCAUAUCACCCUUCAUAGGGAACCUCACCUUUCUCAGGAUAAUCAGUCUCUCAACCAACAGCUUCUAUGGGACGAUUCCUAAAGAGAUUGGCCGGUUGUUCCACUUGACGUAUCUCCGUCUGACCAAUAACACAUUCACUGGAGAAAUUCCAGCAAAUCUGACCCACUGUUUGAAACUCCAAUUUCUUGAUCUUUCCGGGAAUCAGCUCACAGGGAGGAUUCCGAGUAAGCUUGGCUCUCUAUCGAAGCUCACCUACUUAAACCUUCAUCACAAGUCUUGCAGGAAGCAUCCCACCUUCACUUGGAAACCUUUCGUCUCUCACUGACCUUUAUCUCUCAAGAAAUAGUCUGGAGGGCAGCAUCCCAGAUGACCUUUGUCAAUUGGUGAGCUUAAAGUUUCUUAGCAUAGGUGAAAAUAAACUGUCAGAUGAGUUCUCUCCUGCCAAUUUGAUCGGAACUAGAAGUUUUGGCACCGUAUAUAAAGGGAUUCUAGAUCAUGUUGGGAUUAUGGUAGCAAUGAAAGUCUUCAAUCUUCAACGACAAGGAGCUCUGGGGAGCUUCAUGGCAGAAUGUGAUGCCUUGAGAAACAUUAGGCAUCGGAAUCUUGUUAAGAUCUUAACUUGUUGCUCGAGCAUUGAUUUUAAGGGCAAUGAUUUUAAAGCUCUAGUUUACGAGUACAUGCCCAAUGGAAGUCUAGAGAAGUGGUUGCCCAAAGAUGGCCAUGACCAGCCGAGAAGGAGCUUGAAGUUUACUCAAAAGGUUAAACAUAGCUAUAGAUGUGGCUUCUGCACUGGAUUAUCUACAUAAUCAUUGCCAAACUUCAAUCAUUCAUCGAGAUUUAAGGCCGACCAACAUUCUUCUUGAUGAUGACAUGAUUGCUAACGUGGGUGAUUUUGGGCUAGCCAGGUUCUUAUCUGAGGUUGCCCAAACUAGCUCAGCUGGGAUGAAGGGAUCUAUUGGGUACAGCGCUCCAGGUAAUAAUUUCAUAUAUUUCCUAUCAUUAUCAACAUCAUUAUCAUCAUUGUUGUUAUUUUUGUUAUUCUUAUCGUAAUCACCAUCAUCAUUAUUAGUAGGCUCAAGGCCCAAAAAUCAAACUGGUUUGUGAUUAAGGUGGAGCAUACCAAGGGAAACCAUUGGGUAGAGGGAUGCACGCCCUUGGUUUCUUA